GUAGGUGGCAAGCGUUGUCCGGAAUUAUUGGGCGUAAAGCGCGCGCAGGCGGUUCUUUAAGUCUGAUGUGAAAGCCCACGGCUCAACCGUGGAGGGUCAUUGGAAACUGGAGAACUUGAGUACAGAAGAGGAAAGCGGAAUUCCACGUGUAGCGGUGAAAUGCGUAGAGAUGUGGAGGAACACCAGUGGCGAAGGCGGCUUUCUGGUCUGUAACUGACGCUGAGGCGCGAAAGCGUGGGGAGCAAACAGGGACUAGAUACCCUGGUAGUCCACGCCGUAAACGAUGAGUGCUGAGUGUUAGGGGGGUUUUCCGCCCCCCUUAGUGCUGCAGCUAACGCAUUAAGCACUCCGCCUGGGAGUACGGCCGCAAGGCUG
rnacentral:rRNA from 1 species